UUAGGGAUGGGGGAACCUCCAACCGCGGGCCUUCAGGGCCUCGGUUCCCUUCGCUGGCAUUCAAUUUGGCUUGUCUCCUGUGUUAAGCCUCAGCUCACCCGCGCCUGGAGGCCCGGGGUCUCCAGUUCUCUUUUUUUCUUUUUUUCCUUACUUUUCUUCCUUCCUUCUUUCGUCGUAACUGCUGCUACGGUGCAGCACGCUGCUACAGUGCAGCACGCCGUUAUGGUGCGGCCUGACCUUGGCUGAAUCCCUCCUGCCCGGGAAUCGCUCUCCCGUCGGAGGCUCGAGUCGAUUCAGCCAGGUUAUAACAUCCCCCCCAUGGAAUCGGACGCCAUUCCAUAGGGCCAGUGGAUGUUCGUGCCAUCUGCAUCUCGCCUUAACGGGGAGCCGUUCUCGUUGUAGGCUUGAGGUGCCACGGUUUUUGCGGGUGUUUGCACGGCCUUGACCACGGGAGCCAAUCCAUCCAGACCUAUUACUCUGGCCUCAUCUUUUAAUGCCUCACACUUAUCAGUUUUUGUCCAAAAUGGCCCCAUUAAACUAUACAUGGCCGUUUUUCGGUUCCAGCCUUUUGCCCCUCCAGUCUGCGGCUUUUGUUGUGGCUUGGCGGGCUUUCCAACUGAGCAGACUACACAUGGCGGUCGCCAUCUUGACUGAAGGCCAGAUGGGUCAGGUGACCUUUUCGCCGCCAUCUUGGCUGAGAGCCAGGUCAUGUGACCACACUCUCCCGGUUUUACCCUGCCUUCUCACCAGGUUUUCACCAAACUCCUUAUGCUAACUCUGUUAAAUGUGUUUUGAGCAAUGGUCAAAUGCCUUUGAUAGGGCCCAUCAGAGGCAUCCACGUUGCCCAAUUCUUGUUCACUCUCUCUAUGUAUAACUGUUUAUUACAUCUUAUUUCAGACUACAAAACAUGAGUCUUGUAUUUUAAACUGGUAUGUACCUUUAAGUCUCUUAAGCUGUUCUUUACCAUUGUCAGUUUUGCCGCUAACCUUAUAUUUCAAGCAGUUUUUCCCUCUAUCUUUUUACAAAUGUAAAUCUUACCUGUUAAGAGCCAAUUUGGUCAAGCUCAGACCCAACUUUCCAAACAAAUUCUAUACUAUAGUUAUACCUGAUAAACAGCCCUCAACUGCUCAGAGAUCUGGGGAAUGUGAUAUUUAAGUGUUUAAUUAUUAAAAUAACUUUUAACAACGACAAAAGAGACAGGUUGGCUCCUAGCAGCAGCUUUCUGCUCCCUCCAAAGAAGACAGUCACGCGCAGAACAACGUCCUUCUGCAUCUCGCUUCGACUGCAGAGCGCUGACCAUUGGGAAAACCUGCCUUUCAUCUAAACUAAAGAUCUCUAGACGUGGACGGAAUCACCGGAAUCGACAGCCUAGCUGCUCAGGUCAAGGUAGGCCUGUCUUCCUACAGAUUUCUUAGCCCACAGGAUCUUCUGGAGCCUGGCAGGCCCUGCGCUAAACAGCAAAGCUCAAGUGCAACCUUCAGCGACCAUGGAGGACCCAAAAAAGAGUAGCUCUGGGUGCCAACCAAGUAAGUUCUCUGUCAUUUUUUAAUCAGUUACUCAAGUAAAAUCUUAUCCUUCUCAAAGAUCUCUGACAGUCUGACAGCUGAGAGGUUUCGCCAGGUUGAGGUUUUACAAGGUGACCUCACCAAAUUUCAAACCAAAUUUAUCUCUUAUGCUACAGUCAUUAUAUGUCUAAAACUUCUGUUUUCACAAACCCAA